GGCGGGGUACUCAAGCGGUCAACGAGGGCAGACUGUAAAUCUGCUGGCUAUGCCUUCAAAGGUUCGAAUCCUUUCCCCGCCACCA
rnacentral:tRNA from 1 species